rnacentral:misc_RNA from 1 species
AAGUCGUAACAAGGUUUCCGUAGGUGAACCUGCGGAAGGAUCAUUACAUUUAGUAGCCUAGCCUGGCUAUCCAGUCGGGGUUUCGUUAGCCUGCAUAGCUUUAAUCGCGUGAUGAGCAGCAGACCCCCUGUUUGUACCCUUGUUUUUGCGUCACCAAAGUUUCCUCGGCGGGCUUGCUCGCCGGAUGGGACAAUACUAUAACCCUUUUUAAUAUUCAAUCAGCGUACUUGAAAACUUGAAUAAUUACAA